AUUGAACGCUGGCGGCAGGCCUAACACAUGCAAGUCGAGCGGAUGAGGGGUGCUUGCACCCUGAUUCAGCGGCGGACGGGUGAGUAAUGCCUAGGAAUCUGCCCGAUAGUGGGGGACAACGUUUCGAAAGGAACGCUAAUACCGCAUACGUCCUACGGGAGAAAGUGGGGGCUCAUCGGACCUCACGCUAUCGGAUGAGCCUAGGUCGGAUUAGCUAGUUGGUGGGGUAAAGGCUCACCCAGGCGACGAUCCGUAACUGGUCUGAGAGGAUGAUCAGUCACACUGGAACUGAGACACGGUCCAGACUCCUACGGGAGGCAGCAGUGGGGAAGAUUGGACAAUGGGCGAAAGCCUGAUCCAGCCAUGCCGCGUGUGUGAAGAAGGUCUUCGGAUUGUAAAGCACUUUAAGUCGGGAGGAAGGGCUGUAGGUUAAUACCCUGCGGUUUUGACGUUACCGACAGAAUAAGCACCGGCUAACUUCGUGCCAGCCGCCGCCGUAAAAC
rnacentral:rRNA from 1 species